GGACACUUCAAGGUGGGGGAAUCAAUGGAGUUCUUCAUGGACAGGAGUAUUUGGGAAAUGGAACAUUACAUGGAUGGAAUACAGGUGAAUAAAUUGAUGACCUUGGGAAAGGCAGCAGCAGGACGUCAUAACUGGAAAUACAUGGGGCUGGUCCUCAGCACUCAGGAAGAUGGAAGACUGUUAAUCAAGGCUAUAAAGCAGAGACUCUGAGAUAUUGUCUUACCUGCUGAGCGCUUUCAGCAUUUUCUGGCUACAUCCCAAUGAUGCUGAAUUAAAGCUCCUGACCAGAGAAGAGAUGGGUUGGAAUUUUAUUGGUGGGUGUAUGUCCCAAUGUCAGGGCUAUAUGUGAGCCCUGAGCCCACUAUCACUUCUAUCUGUGGUCAUCAGCAUCAGUAGAUGGAGCAAUUCACGUGCAGCCGCUAAGUCACUGUGUUGUUUUUAGAUAUCUUUAAUCAACCUGUUCCGAUACGAUGUGACACAUUUCUGGGGCAGGCACGUCUUGAACCAGGACCUUCUAACCUAGAGUUAGGGACUACCACUGUACCACAAGAG